GACGAACGCUGGCGGCGUGCCUAAUACAUGCAAGUAGAACGCACAGUUUAUACCGUAGCUUGCUACACCAUAGACUGUGAGUUGCGAACGGGUGAGUAACGCGUAGGUAACCUGCCUGGUAGCGGGGGAUAACUAUUGGAAACGAUAGCUAAUACCGCAUAAUAUUAAUUAUUGCAUGAUAAUUAAUUGAAAGGUGCAAUUGCACCACUACCAGAUGGACCUGCGUUGUAUUAGCUAGUAGGUGAGGUAACGGCUCACCUAGGCGACGAUACAUAGCCGACCUGAGAGGGUGAUCGGCAACACUGGGACUGAGACACGGCCCAGACUCCUACGGGAGGCAGCAGUAGGGGAUCUUCGGCAAUGGACGAAAGUCUGACCGAGCAACGCCGCGUGAGUGAAGAAGGUUUUCGGAUCGUAAAGCUCUGUUGUAAGAGAAGAACGGGUGUGAGAGUGGAAAGUUCACACUGUGACGGUAUCUUACCAGAAAGGGACGGCUAACUACGUG
rnacentral:rRNA from 1 species